rnacentral:misc_RNA from 1 species
UACGGAGGGUGCGAGCGUUAAUCGGAAUUACUGGGCGUAAAGCGCGCGCAGGUGGCUUGACAAGCCGGUUGUGAAAGCCCCGGGCUCAACCGGGGAGGGGCAUCCGGAACUGUCAGGCUAGAGUGCAGGAGAGGAAGGUAGAAUUCCCGGUGUAGCGGUGAAAUGCGUAGAGAUCGGGAGGAAUACCAGUGGCGAAGGCGGCCUUCUGGACUGACACUGACACUGAGGUGCGAAAGCUUGGGUAGCAAACAGG